GCACUCGUAGCUCAGUAGGAUAGAGCGUCCCCCUCCUAAGGGGAAGGCCGGGGGUUCGAUUCCUCUCGAGUGCGCCA
rnacentral:tRNA from 1 species